AUUGAACGCUGGCGGCAUGCCUUACACAUGCAAGUCGAACGGCAGCACGGGAGCUUGCUCCUGGUGGCGAGUGGCGAACGGGUGAGUAAUACAUCGGAACGUGCCCAGUAGUGGGGGAUAGCCCGGCGAAAGCCGGAUUAAUACCGCAUACGACCUACGGGUGAAAGCGGGGGACCGUAAGGCCUCGCGCUAUUGGAGCGGCCGAUGUCUGAUUAGCUUGUUGGUGGGGUAAAAGCCCACCAAGGCGACGAUCAGUAGCUGGUCUGAGAGGACGAUCAGCCACACUGGGACUGAGACACGGCCCAGACUCCUACGGGAGGCAGCAGUGGGGAAUUUUGGACAAUGGGGGCAACCCUGAUCCAGCAAUGCCGCGUGUGCGAAGAAGGCCUUCGGGUUGUAAAGCACUUUUGUCAGGGAAGAAAUCUUUCAGGCUAAUACCCUUGGAAGGAUGACGGUACCUGAAGAAUAAGCACCGGCUAACUACGUGCCAGCAGCCGCCGCCG
rnacentral:rRNA from 1 species